rnacentral:rRNA from 1 species
GACGAACGCUGGCGGCAUGCCUAACACAUGCAAGUCGAACGGAGAUUAUUUCUGUAAUCUUAGUGGCGAACGGGUGAGUAACGCGUGGGCAACCUGCCCUCUAGAUGGGGACAACAUCCCGAAAGGGGUGCUAAUACCGAAUGUGACAGCAAUCUCGCAUGAGGAUGCUGUGUAAGAUGGCCUCUAUUUAUAAGCUAUCGCUAGAGGAUGGGCCUGCGUCUGAUUAGCUAGUUGGUGGGGUAACGGCCUACCAAGGCGAUGAUCAGUAGCCGGUCUGAGAGGAUGAACGGCCACAUUGGGACUGAGACACGGCCCAGACUCCUACGGGAGGCAGCAGUGGGGAAUCUUCCGCAAUGGGCGAAAGCCUGACGGAGCAAUGCCGCGUGAGUGAUGAAGGAAUUCGUUCCGUAAAGCUCUUUUGUUUAUGACGAAUGUGCAGAUUGUGAACAAUGAUCUGUAAUGACGGUAGUAAACGAAUAAGCCACGGCUAACUACGUG